rnacentral:snRNA from 1 species
AUACUUACCUGGCAGGGGAGAUACCAUGAUCAAGAAGGUGGUUCACCCAGGGCGAGGCUCAGCCAUUGCACUUGCGCUGACCCCUGCGAAUUCCCCAAAUGUGGGAGUCUCGACUGCAUAAUUUCUGGUAGUGGGGGACUGCGUUCGCGCUCUCCCCUG